UUAUGGAGAUUAUGAUUUAUGUGAUUUCGACGAAUUAUUUUCCGAAGUAUUUCCGGAAUUUAAGAUUAUAAUUUUAUUCGUCGAUUUUAAGAUUUUAAGGAAUAUUAUUGGAAAUGGGAUUUCUCGAGGAAAUUAUAUUAUAUAUUAUUCCUCGCUUAUUUAUUUAUGAUUUCGAGAAUAUUUUUUUGCGUGCGGGGUCACGUCAUUGACAUAUGUAUUUUCUUGUGAGGUGUUGGGGAAGCCUUAUUGGUUUUCAGUUUUCGUAUGGAUUUUAACCCACCAUACCUGGGUCGUCAUAUUUAUUGCCAGCUAGCCUAUUAGUACUCCUCCCUGCUUACUAUGUGUUUGUGGGUGAGUAAGAGCAGAGCAUGGGAUGCUCCAGAGUGUGGGACACUCCGACCCGAGCCUGGGAGGCUCCCUUCUUUCGUAUGAUCGCAGCGUUGCUGACCGGCUUAGGAGUGGAGGCUAGCACCACCUUUGCUAUCUAUCCUCAGUAGGUUAUUUAUUAACCUACCUUAUGUAUCAUAUUUCGAGUGUGUUCUAUAGAUUGGUCUGAGUACCUUAAAAGGUUGGAUUUAUACAUUUGUAUAAUUAUGAGUGUAUGGGAGUUGUAUAAUAUUGGAGGAAGUUGAAAGAUUUGAAUUGUUGGGUUGUAAUUUAUAUCAGUGAUUAUGUUGGUGUAGUACGAUGUUUAUA